UACGUAGGGCGCAAGCGUUGUCCGGAAUUAUUGGGCGUAAAGAGCUCGUAGGCGGCUUGUCGCGUCGGAUGUGAAAGCCCGGGGCUUAACCCCGGGUCUGCAUUCGAUACGGGCAGACUAGAGUUCGGUAGGGGAGACUGGAAUUCCUGGUGUAGCGGUGAAAUGCGCAGAUAUCAGGAGGAACACCGGUGGCGAAGGCGGGUCUCUGGGCCGAUACUGACGCUGAGGAGCGAAAGCGUGGGGAGCGAACAGG
rnacentral:rRNA from 1 species